UAGGGAAUCUUCCACAAUGGGCGCAAGCCUGAUGGAGCAACACCGCGUGAGUGAAGAAGGGUUUCGGCUCGUAAAGCUCUGUUGUUAAAGAAGAACACGUAUGAGAGCAACUGUUCAUACGUUGACGGUAUUUAACCAGAAAGUCACGGCUAACUACGUGCCAGCAGCCGCGGUAAUACGUAGGUGGCAAGCGUUAUCCGGAUUUAUUGGGCGUAAAGAGAGUGCAGGCGGUUUUCUAAGUCUGAUGUGAAAGCCUUCGGCUUAACCGGAGAAGUGCAUCGGAAACUGGAUAACUUGAGUGCAGAAGAGGGUAGUGGAACUCCAUGUGUAGCGGUGGAAUGCGUAGAUAUAUGGAAGAACACCAGUGGCGAAGGCGGCUACCUGGUCUGCAACUGACGCUGAGACUCGAAAGCAUGGGUAGCGAACAGGAUUAGAUACCCUGGUAGUCCAUGCCGUAAACGAUGAGUGCUAGGUGUUGGAGGGUUUCCGCCCUUCAGUGCCGGAGCUAACGCAUUAAGCACUCCGCCUGGGGAGUACGACCGCAAGGUU
rnacentral:rRNA from 1 species